rnacentral:rRNA from 1 species
CAGCCGCCGCGGUAAUACGUAGGUGGCAAGCGUUGUCCGGAAUUAUUGGGCGUAGAGCGCGCGCAGGUGGUUUAAUAAGUCUGAUGUGAAAGCCCACGGCUCAACCGUGGAGGGUCAUUGGAAACUGUUAAACUUGAGUGCAGGAGAGAAAAGUGGAAUUCCUAGUGUAGCGGUGAAAUGCGUAGAGAUUAGGAGGAACACCAGUGGCGAAGGCGGCUUUUUGGCCUGUAACUGACACUGAGGCGCGAAAGCGUGGGGAGCAAACAGGAUUAGAGACCCCGGUAGUCCCUGUCUCUUAUAC